rnacentral:rRNA from 1 species
UACAGAGGGUGCAAGCGUUGUUCGGAAUUAUUGGGCGUAAAGCGCGUGUAGGCGGGCCGGCACGUCGGUCGCUGAAAUCCCCCGGCUCAACCGGGGAAGGGGCGCCGAUACGACCGGCCUGGAGGGGGGUAGGGGGAGCCGGAACUUCCGGUGGAGCGGUGAAAUGCGUUGAGAUCGGAAGGAACGCCCGUGGCGAAAGCGGGCUCCUGGACCCCACCUGACGCUGAGACGCGAAAGCCAGGGGAGCGAACGGG